UAAUACGUAGGGCGCGAGCGUUGUCCGGAAUUAUUGGGCGUAAAGAGCUCGUAGGCGGUUUGUCGCGUCUGCCGUGAAAUCCUCUGGCUUAACUGGGGGCGUGCGGUGGGUACGGGCAGACUGGAGUGCGGUAGGGGAGACUGGAAUUCCUGGUGUAGCGGUGGAAUGCGCAGAUAUCAGGAGGAACACCGGUGGCGAAGGCGGGUCUCUGGGCCGUUACUGACGCUGAGGAGCGAAAGCAUGGGGAGCGAACAGG
rnacentral:rRNA from 1 species